AGAGUUUGAUCCUGGCUCAGGACGAACGCUGGCGGCGUGCUUAACACAUGCAAGUCGAACGGAAAGGCCCCUUCGGGGGUGCUCGAGUGGCGAACGGGUGAGUAACACGUGGGUGAUCUGCCCUGCACUUUGGGAUAAGCCUGGGAAACUGGGUCUAAUACCGGAUAGGACUACGCGAUGCAUGUCGUGUGGUGGAAAGCUUUUGCGGUGUGGGAUGGGCCCGCGGCCUAUCAGCUUGUUGGUGGGGUGAUGGCCUACCAAGGCGACGACGGGUAGCCGGCCUGAGAGGGUGUCCGGCCACACUGGGACUGAGAUACGGCCCAGACUCCUACGGGAGGCAGCAGUGGGGAAUAUUGCACAAUGGGCGCAAGCCUGAUGCAGCGACGCCGCGUGAGGGAUGACGGCCUUCGGGUUGUAAACCUCUUUCAGUAUCGACGGAGCGCAAGUGACGGUAGAUACAGAAGAAGCACCGGCCAACUACGUGCCAGCCGCCGCGGUAAUAC
rnacentral:rRNA from 1 species